rnacentral:lncRNA from 1 species
CUUAAAAUCAAGUUUACGCAAAUUAUUAGAACCACUACAAGUUUGUUAGCUCAAUUAUUGAACAAGCUGCAAACGUUGAGCAAGAGAUGGGUAAGAACCACCAAUUCCUUAACAACAUAGAAGCUAAAAUUUUUAAGGAUUUUCAGUCUCUUAAAUAUCCAACCAAUCCCUUGAUCAUCUUCACUUUAAAUAACCCCAUUUAUGAAAUUCACUUCAGAGAAAAAUAGACCUUGGGAGGGUAAUAGAAAGAUAACACUUGAGUACUAGAGGUUGAC